CUCCGUGCUGUAGCUCUAUCCUCCCUCAUCUUCCUUUUCUUUUAUCAGCAGUGCAAGCAGGGUGGUAUGCUUAAGUACACCAUUCAAGCAAGAUAUUUAUAGCUCGUGUAGCGUACUGGAAAGAGGAGCAGGAGAACGUGGGGCCGCAGUCCCUCCUACGCAGGUAUAUCACCCCCAGCUCUCCCACCCAGGAUCUCCAAGUCCUCUGCAAAGCAAAGGAAGUGCUCCAAUAGAAGAGACUGAGCGAGACCUACACCAACAUAUCCCAUAACAAGGUGCUCACUUGCAGUGUGGGAGACCCAAGUUCAAGUCCCUAUUCCAAAUGAGACAUAGUAGAGAUCUGGAUCCAAUAGACCACAUUCUGGAUAUGUUUAUACUGUUAUACUUCACUGCCAACACUCGUGACCUGACUGUUGGUUUGUUUAUACCUACCAGCAUGUUUCUUGUGGUAGUCAGUUGAACUGAAUGGAAGUAAACUGGACUGAAUGGCUACGUCUACACGAUGUGCUUAUUUUGAAAUAAACUAUUUUGGAAUAGCACAUCCACACUACAAAUCGCCAUUGAAAUAGUGCAGAAUUAUAUCAAAAUAGCGUGUUCACACUGGAGUCUAAAUGGCAUUUAAGGCCACAUGAAGCACUUCAGGCAGGGCAUCAGGACAGCAAUCACUUCCUGUAGCUGCUUCCUGAGGCUAGCUGAGGCUAGUGCUUAAAGGGGGUCCCCUCUACAGUUGUGUCUCAGACUCUUCUCCAUUGCCUACCUCCUUGAGGGACAGCAAACUCUUCCCUCUAUGUGUUCCGGAUGACCUUGCAGAUGCCACAGCACUUCCAGCAUGGAACAGACCCUGCUGCAAAGCAGUACCAGGCUCUUAGACCUCCUACUGCAACUCCGGGCACAGUUCCUGCAGGCUGCCCAUGUGGUGCUGCAGGAGGUCGACGAUCAGCCUGGAAUGGGGGAAUCUCCUCACCCAGGUCCAGGCACUCCUCAUGCACCACAUUCCCUCCCACCAGCACAUUGUGCGCCGCUGCUUCUGGCGCCGUGAGACCAGUACCAAUUGGUGGGAUCGCAUCGUCAUGGAGCGGUGGGAUGACCAGCAGUGGCUCCAGAACUUCGGCAUGCAGAAGGACACCUUUCUGGAGCUCUGCGAAUGGCUCAUCUCUGCUCUCCGGUGACAGGACACCCGGAGGAGACCCGCCAACCCCCUCCAGAAGCAGGCACCAUCAUACUUUGGAAGCUCGCCACACCGGAGAAGCUACCGCUCUGUGGGAAACCAGUUCAGAGUGCGGAGAACAACCGUCGGGGCCAUGCUCAUGCAGGUAUCA